rnacentral:rRNA from 1 species
GAUGAACGCUGGCGGCGUGCCUAAUACAUGCAAGUCGAGCGAACAGACGAGGAGCUUGCUCCUUUGACGUUAGCGGCGGACGGGUGAGUAACACGUAGGUAACCUACCUAUAAGACUGGGAUAACUUCGGGAAACCGGAGCUAAUACCGGUGAAUAUUUCGAACCGCAUGGUUCGAUAGUGAAAGAUGGCUUUGCUAUCACUUAUAGAUGGACCUGCGCCGGAUUAGCUAGUUGGUAAGGUAACGGCUUACCAAGGCAACGAUACGUAGCCGACCUGAGAGGGUGAUCGGCCACACUGGAACUGAGACACGGUCCAGACUCCUACGGGAGGCAGCAGUAGGGAAUCUUCCGCAAUGGGCGAAAGCCUGACGGAGCAACGCCGCGUGAGUGAUGAAGGUCUUCGGAUCGUAAAACUCUGUUAUUAGGGAAGAACAAACGUGUAAGUAACUGUGCACGUCUUGACGGUACCUAAUCAGAAAGCCACGGCUAACUACGUGCCAGCCGCCGCGGUAA